GUCAAUGUAUGGGAAACACUGCAGGACCUUCCUCUCAAGUCAAACUCACUCAGAAGGAAAAGGAGCUCCAGACAUCCAUGUCUCUGUCCAGCAGGGGGCGUCAGGCACAGCGUCCAAGAGGACUGACAAGAUGCAGAGGGACUCUGUAGAACACAGAUGGACACCAGAGGAGGCAGAGGUCUAUGAGAAAUUCCGAUCUACAUUGAAGAGCACGUUUCAGCAUCUGGUUGAGGGAAUACCUAAUCAGGGGAGAAUCCAGACUCCUCCAAGAGAUCAACACAGAUCUCCA